rnacentral:rRNA from 1 species
GACAGAGGCCUCGAGCGUUAGGCGGAAUCACUGGGCUUAAAGCGUGUGUAGGCGGAUCGUUAAGUGCCUUGUGAAAUCCCACGGCUUAACUGUGGAACGGCUGGGCAUACUGGCGGUCUUGAGCCAUCUAGGGGCGACUGGAACAAACGGUGGAGCGGUGAAAUGCGUAGAUAUCGUUUGGAACGCCAAUGGUGAAAACAGGUCGCUGGGGAUGUGCUGACGCUGAGACACGAAAGCUAGGGGAGCAAACAGG